rnacentral:rRNA from 1 species
UACGUAGGUGGCGAGCGUUGUCCGGAUUUACUGGGCGUAAAGGGAGCGUAGGCGGACUUUUAAGUGAGAUGUGAAAUACCCGGGCUCAACUUGGGUGCUGCAUUUCAAACUGGAAGUCUAGAGUGCAGGAGAGGAGAAUGGAAUUCCUAGUGUAGCGGUGAAAUGCGUAGAGAUUAGGAAGAACACCAGUGGCGAAGGCGAUUCUCUGGACUGUAACUGACGCUGAGGCUCGAAAGCGUGAGGAGCAAACAGGAUUAGAU